UGGGGAAUCUUCCGCAAUGGACGAAAGUCUGACGGAGCAACGCCGCGUGUAUGAUGAAGGUCUUCGGAUUGUAAAGUACUGUCAUUGGGGAAGAACGGUUUUCUUGAAAAGAUUGAGAAGACAUGACGGUACCCAAGGAGGAAGCCCCGGCUAACUACGUGCCAGCAGCCGCGGUAAUACGUAGGGGGCAAGCGUUGUCCGGAAUUAUUGGGCGUAAAGGGCGCGUAGGCGGGCCUUUAAGUCCGGUGUGAAAGAUCAGGGCUCAACCCUGAGAGUGCAUCGGAAACUGGAGGCCUUGAGGACAGGAGAGGAAAGUGGAAUUCCACGUGUAGCGGUGAAAUGCGUAGAUAUGUGGAGGAACACCAGUGGCGAAGGCGACUUUCUGGACUGUAACUGACGCUGAGGCGCGAAAGCGUGGGGAGCAACAGGAUUAGAUACCCUGGUAGUCCACGCCGUAACGAUGAGUGCUAGGUGUAGAGGGUAUCGACCCCUUCUGUGCCGCAGUUAACACAAUAA
rnacentral:rRNA from 1 species